GAUAAUAUUCCUCAGAUCAAGUUGCUGAGAUCUAAAUGUUUCAUGCAUAAAUCAAGGGGAAAAAAAAGCAGUAUUCAUAUUAAUGGAACCAUCAUCUAAUAGAUACAAACAAGCAAAAUAUAAAAACUCAAGCAAGGAAGUUUUGUUAUAAAUGUUGGAGAUCAACAGUACAUCACAUUGCUCUAGAAAUAGAGUAUCACAAAGACUACUGAAGCCAUCUCCUAUGAGUAACAGAUCAAAAUAAAGUAUAUCCUGCUGAUUUACUGACAAAGAUAAGUAUAUACUGCUGAUUCACAGACUAAGAUAAAGUUCCUCCUGCUGAUUCAUGGACCAAGAUAAAGAACAUCCUGCUGAUUCACAGACAAAGAUAAAGUUCCUCCUGCUGAUUUACAGACACUUGUAUGGGCUGCUACUUGUGAUUAAGAACUGACUUCAAAUGAUAGCAAGAGGAUGAUUUAAGCAUACAUAACUAAACUGGAAGAACAGAUGAAGUCCAAAACGCUAAAGCAACAGACAACCCAGAUGAAAAAAAAGUAGGCUACAUCCUGCUGAUUCACAGACCAAGAUAAAGAACAUCCUGCUGAUUCACAGACCAAGAUAAUGUUCCUCCUGCUGAUUCACAGAUCAAGAUAAAGUUCCUCCUGCUGAUUUACAGA